GAGUUCUUCCCCUCCCCUUCCCAUGUGUAUCUUUGUAUGGGAAAGUUUAUUCUAUUGAUUCCCCCCCUAUUUCUUGAAGUUAAUCUUAGUAUUAUCACGGUUCCCCCCUCCCUUUUCCUUUUUUUGCCCCAACUUUCCCCAAAUCUUCUUAAUUCCCCAAUCUUUCCCUAUGCAUGUUUCUUCUAACUACUCUUAUGAUGAUACAAUUUAUGAGAGUUACACAAAACAUUUUCCCCACAUAUUAAUAUAUAUAAUUUGAUGUAAAUGUAGUCCUUAUAGAAGAGAGUUUGACUUAAAGAGAAAGAUAAGAUUUAUCUCCUUUUCCCUUUCUUUCAUAUUUACCUUUUCAUGUUUCUCUUGCUUUCUGUGCUUGGAUAUCGAACUUUCCACAGAGCUCUGGUCUUUUCUUAGCAAAUGCUUGGAAAUCUUCUAUUUUGUUGAAUGCCCAUACUUCCCCCUGGAAGUAUAUAAUCAGUUUUGCUGGGUAGUUGAUUCUUGGUUGGAGACCCAGCUCUCUUGCCUUUCUAAAUAUCGUGUUCCAUGCUUUGCGGUCUCUUAGUGUAUUAGCCGCUAAGUCGUGUGUGAUCCUUAUGGGAGCCCCCUUAUAUCUGAAGCUCUUCUUCUUGGCUUCUUGUAGGAUUUUCUCCUUUACUUGGAAGCUCUUGAAUUUGGCAAUUACAUUCCUAGGCGUUGUCUUUUGGGGAUUUAGUAUAGAAGGUGUUCUAUGAAUCCUUUCUAUUUCUAUUUUGUCCCCUUGCUCCAGAACGUGGGGGCAAUUUUCUUUUAUAAUCUCCUGUAGAAUAAUAUCCAAUUUGUUGUUUACCUCUGGUUUUUCUGGGAGACCGAUGAUACGGAGAUUUUCUCGUCUUCCUCUGUUCUCCAGGUCCGUGACCUUCUCAGUGAGAUAUUUUAUGUUUUCUUCCAAUUCAUUAAUUAUUUGGGUUUGCUUUAUUGAUUCUUGCUGUUUUAUCAUCUCACUUUCUUCGAGGUGCUUAAUUCUGGUCAUUAGGGACUGGAUUUGCUUUUCAGCCUUGUCUGCCCUUCUAUUGGAUGCUUCGAGUUCUUUUUCCAAUUGAGCAGUCUUAUCUGUCAGACAGCUGAUCUCUUUCUCCCAUUUUUCUUUCCAGAAGGUUUCCAUCUUUUGGAUAAGUUCCAGUUUGAGAUCUUCCAGAGCUUGUUGAUAGUUUCCAUUUUGGGAGGCGUGUUCUGAAUUUUUUUGGAUUUCCUCCUCAUUCUCCUCUUUUCCUUGGGUACUUCCACCAUAAAAGUUUUCAAUAGUCACUUUUUUCCCUUUCUUCCUGGAGGCUUGAUUUUGGGCCAUGUGAGCCAUCCCUUUGGUGGUUUUAUUUCCCUUUCCUUUUUGGUCUGGGGUCUGGGUUAUAAGAGCGGUUUUUCUGUGAAUUUAGGUUGCUUCAGACUAGUUCUUC
rnacentral:lncRNA from 1 species